rnacentral:rRNA from 1 species
AUGCACGCUGGCGGCGUGCCUCAUACAUGCCAGUCGAGCGAACAGACGAGGAGCUUGCUCCUCUGACGUUAGCGGCGGACGGGUGAGUAACACGUGGAUAACCUACCUAUAAGACUGGGAUAACUUCGGGAAACCGGAGCUAAUACCGGAUAAUAUAUUGAACCGCUUGGUUCAAUAGUGAAAGACGGUUUUGCUGUCACUUAUAGAUGGAUCCGCGCCGCAUUAGCUAGUUGGUAAGGUAACGGCUUACCAAGGCAACGAUGCGUAGCCGACCUGAGAGGGUGAUCGGCCACACUGGAACUGAGACACGGUCCAGACUCCUACGGGAGGCAGCAGUAGGGAAUCUUCCGCAAUGGGCGAAAGCCUGACGGAGCAACGCCGCGUGAGUGAUGAAGGUCUUCGGAUCGUAAAACUCUGUUAUUAGGGAAGAACAAAUGUGUAAGUAACUAUGCACGUCUUGACGGUACCUAAUCAGAAAGCCACGGCUAACUACGUG